rnacentral:rRNA from 1 species
GACGAACGCUGGCGGCGUGCUUAACACAUGCCAGUCGAACGGAAAGGCCCUGCUUUUGUGGGGUGCUCGAGUGGCGAACGGGUGAGUAACACGUGAGUAACCUGCCCUUGACUUUGGGAUAACUUCAGGAAACUGGGGCUAAUACCGGAUAGGAGCUCCUGCUGCAUGGUGGGGGUUGGAAAGUUUCGGCGGUUGGGGAUGGACUCGCGGCUUAUCAGCUUGUUGGUGGGGUAGUGGCUUACCAAGGCUCUGACGGGUAGCCGGCCUGAGAGGGUGACCGGCCACAUUGGGACUGAGAUACGGCCCAGACUCCUACGGGAGGCAGCAGUGGGGAAUAUUGCACAAUGGGCGGAAGCCUGAUGCAGCAACGCCGCGUGCGGGAUGACGGCCUUCGGGUUGUAAACCGCUUUCGCCUGUGACGAAGCGUGAGUGACGGUAAUGGGUAAAGAAGCACCGGCUAACUACGUG